GUUUGGUCUUUAAAUGGGCAUUUUAUAUUAGUAAGGGCUUUUUCCUUUGAAUAGAAAGAGUUGAAUUUUAAAGACUCAUGACAUUUGUCGCUUAGUUUUCCUACUGCAUUCCAACAACCUGCCAAUCAUGAACAGUGAAGACCACUCUUCUCAUUUUCCUUCUCCUUUAUUCUUUCCUUAAAAAUCCACUUUUGCUUUUAAAAAUGCAAAUCAGAGACACAUUCCACAAGCAGUGACAUUCAGUAGCA
rnacentral:lncRNA from 1 species